rnacentral:rRNA from 1 species
UACGGGGGGAGCAAGCGUUGUUCGGAUUUACUGGGCGUAAAGGGCGCGUAGGCGGUCAGCACAAGUCAGUUGUGAAACCUCCGGGCUUAACUCGGAAAGGUCAACUGAUACUGUGCGACUAGAGUGCAGAAGGGGCAACUGGAAUUCUCGGUGUAGCGGUGAAAUGCGUAGAUAUCGAGAGGAACACCUGCGGCGAAGGCGGGUUGCUGGGCUGACACUGACGCUGAUGCGCGAAAGCCAGGGGAGCGAACGGG